UCGGCAUCGACCAGAGGGAAAAGGAGCAAUCCGCUUUGAGAUGGCCUCGCGUCCGAUUAGCUAGUUGGUGAGGUAACGGCCCACCAAGGCAACGAUCGGUAGCCGGACUGAGAGGUUGAACGGCCACAUUGGGACUGAGACACGGCCCAGACUCCUACGGGAGGCAGCAGUGGGGAAUAUUGCACAAUGGGGGAAACCCUGAUGCAGCGACGCCGCGUGGAGGAAGAAGGUCUUCGGAUUGUAAACUCCUGUUGUUGAGGAAGAUAAUGACGGUACUCAACAAGGAAGUGACGGCUAACUACGUGCCAGCAGCCGCGGUAAAACGUAGGUCACAAGCGUUGUCCGGAAUUACUGGGUGUAAAGGGAGCGCAGGCGGGAGGACAAGUUGGAAGUGAAAUCCAUGGGCUCAACCCAUGAACUGCUUUCAAAACUGUUUUUCUUGAGUAGUGCAGAGGUAGGCGGAAUUCCCGGUGUAGCGGUGGAAUGCGUAGAUAUCGGGAGGAACACCAGUGGCGAAGGCGGCCUACUGGGCACCAACUGACGCUGAGGCUCGAAAGUGUGGGUAGCAAACAGGAUUAGAUACCCUGGUAGUCCACACCGUA
rnacentral:rRNA from 1 species